rnacentral:tRNA from 1 species
GCCCUUAUGGUGGAAAUGGUAGUCACGCUGGUCUAAGAAGCCUGUGUCGAAAGACGUGUAGGUUCGAAUCCUACUAAGGGCA